UAUUUGCUUUAGUAAUUAUUAUAAAUAGUUGGGAAUUAAAGCCAUCCAGCGAAAUGAAAGCGGAGUGAUGGCGCCCGCAGUGAAACGACUGGCAAGUGGCCAAACGAGACCAAUUUCCAAAGCAAUUUAGUUUAAUUGAAUGCAAUAAUCAUAAAAAGUAAGGAGAGCGCCAAGUCAAGAUAGUAAAUUUGUAAUUGAGAAGUAAUUGCUUGUCGCACUGAAAGGUAAUUUUAUUUAAUCCACAAUGUUGAUGGGCGUCCAUACUGCCACUUUAAGUGGAAGCUGCAACGUUAAGUGAUGGUGCAAAAUGCUUUUUAGCCACAUUUUGCUGGCCAAUUUGCAAUGAAGAAGCACGGCUAGCACCGCGACAUUGAACGUGACUCAGGGGUAAAAAGCAUCUCAGAAAUGACACGCAAAUCGGAGCGAAAAAGUUGAGUUGGCAAAUUAAAAAAAAACAAUGCGAAGAAGCGGCCAACAGAACAAUGCGAAAUCAUAUAAAUUAUUAUAAUAUCUCCUGCCAGUUGCUUAAUGCCUCGAAGCCCGUUUCAAACAAAAGAUACCCGACUGACGCAUCAUCGCUUGCCUCCAAUUAAUGGAAAUAGAUACAGCUAGAGAUAGAGCUACAGAUAUCUAGAUACAUUGAGCAAUGGCAACUCUCAGUCUUGGUCAAAUGGCCGCGCCUCAUUGAAAACCUUCGCUCUUCGUCUUGGCUUCACUCGGAAAUCAAAUCGAAUCGAAACGAAUCCAAUUCAUGUAUCAGUACACAUAUGUAUCCAUUGGAUGCGUAACACGCGCCAGCAUUUAACUCUCCAUAAAUACGAAGUACAGCGAUAUCGUGCUAAGGUUAAGUUUAGUGGAUAGCUGCAAAUGAAUUCGAUCGGAAAGCAAGGCUGCUAAUGAGCCAAGUCCACUGGAAAUACGAUUGCCGUAAUCAUCAGGUUGCAAUGCCAAAUUCUUUCGAAUUUCAAGGGAAGAAUCGAGCUCUAUACACAAAUGAGCGGAGCUUUAAAAAGAGCUACAUAAGCACAAAGUCUUUUAAUGACAUCAUUUUCAGUUGUUAAACAGUUGGUACCAAAAACUAGAAGCUGCUUAUUGAGAAUCUCCAGGAACCUAAGCCAAUAUUAUUGUUAACUAUUUAACGUGUUUAGCUAAUGGUUUGAAGUACUUGAAACUACAUUAUAAUUGACAAGCUCCACUCCCUAAGCUUGAUUAAAAUCUCUAAUAAUACUAUUCUCGCUGUUGGGAGAUCCUAAAGCACGUGUAAUGAUCUUAAGAUAUCUUCUCUCAUCUUUCAAUUUGAUCGAUCUAGUUCCUCACUCCCGCUGCUUUUAUAAAGGCCUAACGAGCUGUACCACCAUCGGCACUUAACCCAAUUAAUAAAUUAAAUUUUGUGCGUUCCGAGACACGUGUAAGCGAUAACACACUAAUCAUUCGAUAGGCCCUAGGCUUUCCCACACAAUCCCCGUAGAGAAAGCAUUGCUAGCUCGGUAACAUGAAGAUGGACACGGGAUAUGAUUAUGGUGAUGGCUGUAUCUGGCCGCGAGUCCAUGUCUGCGGCUUAGUGGAUGCAAUCUCUCCAAAAACUCUUGAGCGGACAACAAGUGCCGCUCAUUAGGCGGACCGCAAACAAGGCGAACCGGUUAAUUUAAAUAGCCGGAGAGACGAAGACGAGACCGAAACUGAAGCUAAGCAGACGCAAUGAUUGAUUUACCACAUACAGUUAGUAGGCUAAACGAACUGAAGUUUACAAGAGACGAUUUCCACUGACCAACCACCACUAGGUGGAUCCAAUCCACAGUUUCAAUGACGCUGACAGGCAACAAUUUUUAUGUGCGCAUCAAGUGCAUCCGGACAUUCAUUCAUUUAUCUUCAUGGGCUCGAUGAAAAGAAGCCACAACGACUUGAACAAAAUCGCCUCAAUGGCCAAAUACCCGUUUUGGUAAUUAAUGAAAACUCAUCAGCCGCAAAAUGCGCAGCCAAGUAAAUGGAGCGGCUUGAAUUGCUGUUGGAUUAGCUAAAAGCUAAAAAUAAUCGACGGCACCACAUCGAAUUAAGCCCAAUAAGAUUUUUGGCAUUAGACCCGCGAACCACUGCCGCAAAAUGCCUAAAAAGUGCCGGCCUGGCUAGCUGACCAGCUUGCGAUGGCGAUAAAUGUGCGCAGAUACGUUACAGACCGCGUCGCGUCGUCUGGCCGCUUUAAAUGGACACAACUGGGAGUGGGUCACAGCUGCAGCUGUGGAUCUGUAGUGGAGCCUGCGGCUCACCGAGGCAAACGAAGCGAUUAUAGGGACCCAGACUUGGGACUAAGCCUUCCCCGAAACCAGUUCGUCUUCCCAGACAGACUACGCUGCGAUUCUUUCUUUCCUUCGAAGCGUAAAUAUUUCAAUUUAUUUAUUGGUCAUGCGUCUUCGGCAUCGUAUCGUUUUUCGAACACUUUCUUUAUAUUCGUUACCCGAACUUCAGGAAGAUAUAGCAACAUGUGUCGUGUUGUGACCAGAAAUCGCCAGUAUCUUGGCCUCGGUCUUGGACUUGGACUCACCAGCACGCAAAGCCGUGCCAAAAUGUGUGUCAAUGGCCUUUGGGGGGGCCCUUCUUUCAUUUUUAUUUGGGGCGGGGAUACAAAGACUGGGGCGUGUCCCAAGCGGAUUUUCACUAAAAUGAAAAUUAAGAGUGAAAACGUUUUGAGUUUCUGUCUUUUUUUCCCCAACCCUGCGAUUUUUUUUUUGCAGCACACAAAGCAAAAGAGGUGUGUUCGUCGAUUCCAACUGCAGACCAUGCAUGGAUGACCCCGCGUAUUAGUGUCCCAUCCUAUGGCCGCCUGAUUGUCAUGCUAAAUGGGUGAAGUGAAACUACGACUGCGAUUUCGGACUGUCGAGAGCAUUGACCAUCUCCCCAAAAGAGCAUUGCCUGUUUUCAGCUUUUUCUUCUCCUACUGUCAACUGUCAAACGAAAUUUACACGUUUUUCUUUCCAGCUGCAACUCACGAAAUAGUCGAGACUUGAACAAAGAAAUGGGGAGUGCGUGAGGCUCCUUUAGCUGAUUGAUUGUUUGGCAAAGUUUGCAUGUUAAUUGCCUUUAUGGCGGCGAUAGACGACAAAGCACACUUAAAAGUCUAAAACCCCAUUACUGAGUUCAUUGGAAUUUUCUUUUUUUUAUCAGUCGUGUCGCCGUCUCAUUUUCUACAAAUUAACAUUACUAGCUACUUACUCUCAGCCUGGCGAAGACAAUGGAACUAAAGCAAAUAUAAUAGUGUUAAGCAAUCAAAUCAUCUGGAAGCGGAACGGAAACGAUCGAGGCUGACCCAACAAUUCAAUUAAGUUGGCUCCUCCUGCACAUCUGAACGAUCGAGCCCAAGGGGAGACGACUUGGUUCCUACCUGCUAGUCCGGCUGGCUGAUGCGGAUUGAAAACAAAACAAACAGAGCUUAGACAACUCACAACAAUGCGGUCGUUGGACGCGCAGGCGCGCAGCGGGGGCGCUUAAUAUGCAGCCAGCGUAGCUGGCAAGUCGGAGAUGUAUACCCAUAUACCCAUGCCAUAUAGCCAGCAGCAGCUGGCGUCUUUCGUUCUUGCUGUCGCUCAACUGAUCAACUGGUUUAACAAUAAAAACAAAGCUCAGGCGGCGUUGGCGUUGCUUGAACGUUCAACAGAAACGAAAAA